GAUAAGGGACUCAGAUAAGGGACCUGUGGGGCAGACGGCUCAGGCCAUGAGCCCCAGUUGUGAACAACGGAAAACAACAAGCCGGCUCGCAUUCAGGGGGGCUGUGCUGGCGUUUCACGUGGCCAUCUCAUUACUGCUCAUGUCCACCCAGGGUCAGCAAACCCGGCCUGGAGGCCACCGUGAAGCUGUCCAGCCUCCAGCCAUGCUCAGCUGGGGACCAGCGGGCUGGCUGCCUGGCGAGGGCCAGAUGCACGCUCCAGGCUUGGCACCGAUCGUGUUUCCCAAAGCCAGCGCCCUCGCUCGCCGCUACCGACAUCAGGCUCCACAUUAAACACGGGAUCAGAGCUGUUUGUCACAGGAUUUGCAAGGCUUUUCCCCAGCAGCUGAGAGAGAGCCUGAAUUUCCCCGGAACAUCGAAUACAGCUGUCGGGGGCACAGCUGGGCUUGGGUGGGGACAGACAGGAUGCGGAGUGAGGAGUGGGCCAGACGUCCCUCUGCCAAGGAGGAGGAGGGGGACUCUCAGCGCAGAUAAAUUGCCCAUGCUUCACAACCCUGGACUCUGAGUCUCUGGCCACUUUGCUCCCGAAACGCUGUGCCUUUGCAAAGAGCUUGGCUCUCCAGCACAUGGGUCUGGCUGGAAUCCCAACCCCGCUCCUUACUUUGGGAUUUUGGACAAGGCACUAAAGUUUGUCGUGCCUCGGUUUCCCCACCCAUGACACGGGGCUGUUAACAACCGUACGCAUGUCAUGGGGCUCCCAUGGCACUGACACAAUGAAGGACCUGAACAAGAAGGCUGACGGAGGCUUUAUUCAAAGUGUCCAAAAAAGUGGAAGUAACCCCAAUGUGUGUCAGCAGGGGGACGUGCAAACACACUGGGACACGCUCUCACAACAGAAUUCUGUCCAGCAAAAGACAAGGGCAGACCCGCCACGCCCCGCCACACGGAUGGAUGUCGGACUUAGGACACGUGGAAGAAGCCGACGCAGAACAGGAUGCACUGUGUGAUUCCACGGAUACGAAGUUCGCGGGCAGCAAAGCGACGGGCCUAGCAGUCGGGAUGGUGGACAACAUUCGUGCGGAGAAGCGCACCCACCCUGAGCGCAUGGUACACGGGCCAUGGCCAGGGAAGCAGCACCUGGGCUGAAGCACCAAGCGCCAGCAGCGGCCAAGCCGCAGGCCCCUGCGGGCACCACUCCACCUCCCCUCCAAGUGCACCGCCCUCAUCACGGCCGCAGUGUCGCCUUGUCCUCCUGCUCAGUACUGGGGCUCCCCCCACCACAGCGCUCCGUGCACAGCCAGUCUGCCAUCUCCCAGCCCUGCCGUCUGCUCCACGCCAUGCCCUCCCACCUCCGGGAUCUCACCACUCUCCCCAGCCCCCCCUCCACCACGAGCACCCCGUUUGACCUCAGCAAACGCAGGGAAACAGGCUGCUGGCUACAUUCCAUUCCUGCGGUGGCUGCAACACAUGGUCUCACACUCAGGGACCAAGAUGGCACAACUUGACGCCUCCAACCUCCUCUGGAGCGCACAGGUGCACAGCGGGCCUCAGCGGGCUCAAGUCAAGGUGGGGGCAGGGCUGCUUCGUUCUGGAGGCUCCAGGCUCCAGAACCUGCUUCUCGCCUCUUCCAGCUUCCAGAGACGCCACAUCCUUCGUUCCAACUCUGCCUCUGUCACCACAGUCCUUCUCCAACUCUGACCCCUGGGUGCGUGUCUUACAGCGACCCUCGUGAUGACAUGGGGCCGGGGUCAUCCAGGACCAAGUCCCCACCUCAGGGUCCUUCACUCAACCACAUCUGAAUAGUCCCUUUUGUGCAGGGUAACACAUUCAUAGGUUCUGGGGACUGACAGCCAUGUCAGGGGAGGGGUGUGCUGAGUACAAGGAUGCACAGGAUUGACCCGUCCAAGCAGAAGGAACUGGCUUGAGCUCCCAAAGGUCUGUACUGGUUUAUACUUUGUCCAGCAGAGCACAGAGUCCCCAUCUUCCCUCCUUCCUUCCCUUCAGCGCCCCUGCCUUCCUUCAAGGAGCCCUGCUCAGCCCAAGACCUGGGAGAGCCCGGCCCCCUCAUCUUGGAGGAUAACUGAGACAAACUGGUCUCCAAAGGGUACAUCUUGUAAAACAUGAACACAGAAUACCCAGUGCUGGUGAGGAUGUGGUAGAAACAGCAGCCUCCUGCCCUCCCCAUGAAAACAGAAAGCAAAUUGGCCACCAGUCUCAAGAACCUUGACAACACUUGGACAUUCUGGACCCCUAAUUUGUUCUGGCAAACUCUCCCAGGGAAAUAGCCCCAAAUACUUCACGUGGAAAGGGCUGAAUAAACAGUCACUCAGCUGAACUGAGCUGGACCUCCAGGCAGCAGGGGGCCGGCAGAGGAGGGGGCAAAGGUGAGCUUCGAGCAUGACUCACACACCCUUCAGGAAAAUAACCAAAUGUACGCGCAUCACAUCGCAGGAGAGAGAGCAAGUCCGGGGCUGAGGAGGGACAUUCCUUCCUGUCUGGUGGGUGGUCACCUCUCCUCCCUCUACCGGGGCCCUCCCCCCAACCCCUGCCGAUCUCUCCUCUUCCCUGUGGGGAAGGGUCAGGGCCACUACUUUCCAGCAGAGCAAAUCAUAAACACCAGAGAGAGAGGGAGAAGGUGAGGGAGAGAAGAGCCUGAGUCACAGAGAGGGAGAGGGAGGCCAGGCAGGAGCGUGGGAACGGCGGAGACAGCUCUGUGCUGGCCGAGGGCGCUGGCUGGCGCCAGAAGUGAGGGGAUCAGAGUCACCUGCGUCCCAGGAUGAAGCAGUCCCGCAGACCCUGGGCCCCACAGAGUGGACCUGACCGAGGUGAACUGGCCUUCUAAUUAAGAGCCAUGUGGAGGGUGCCCCUCUGGCAGAGGAACUAAAGAGCACCCCCCUCCACCCCAGGGCCUGGAACUCGGACAUGAUGGCCACCAUCCUGGUCCACAGGGGCCACGUCCCGGGAGGGCAGAGAGGUAAGCCAGAAGGGCCUGGAUCCCCAAGACUGUGCGGUAGCCGUGCCCACCAGCCCCCCACAGCCCAUGCCAGGACUCCUGAGACGCAGAAGAGAAAUCAACGCCCAUUGUCAUUAGGCACUAUUUUUCCAGUCUGUACCGCUCUUGGCUGACUCCACUCCCAACUGGUACCAUGCCCAAUAAAUAACAAGAAUAUUA